rnacentral:rRNA from 1 species
UACGUAGGGUGCAAGCGUUGUCCGGAAUUAUUGGGCGUAAAGAGCUCGUAGGCGGUCUGUCACGUCGGCUGUGAAAUCCCGAGGCUCAACCUCGGGUCUGCAGUCGAUACGGGCAAACUAGAGUAUUGCAGGGGAGACUGGAAUUCCUGGUGUAGCGGUGAAAUGCGCAGAUAUCAGGAGGAACACCGGUGGCGAAGGCGGGUCUCUGGGCAAGAACUGACGCUGAGGAGCGAAAGCGUGGGGAGCGAACAGG